AUACGGGGGUUGCAAGCGUUAAUCGGAAUUACUGGGCGUAAAGCGCGCGUAGGCGGUUUGCUCAGUCGGAUGUGAAAGCCCAGGGCUCAACCUUGGAACUGCAUACGAUACUGGCAAACUAGAGUGUGAGAGAGGAUAGUGGAAUUUCCGGUGUAGCGGUGAAAUGCGUAGAUAUCGGAAGGAACAUCAGUGGCGAAGGCGACUGUCUGGCUCAACACUGACGCUGAGGUGCGAAAGCGUGGGUAGCAAACAGGAUUAGAAACCCUAGUAGUCC
rnacentral:rRNA from 1 species